UUUGUUACGGUAACGAUAAUUUCGCCAGAGGUGCAUACUGCCCUUAAUUCGGAAAAUAAUUCUUAUUAAGCUGAGACAUUUAUGUCGCCAAUGAAAAAUAGCUGUGUAGAAUACAAGAUGGCGACAAAAACAUCGAUUUAUUAUUUCGGCCGAAUUUUAAUCAUUUUUGGCUAAUUAAGUAAAUAUAUGCUGAAAUUAAUCGUUUUUAUUUGCAAAUAACUUUAUUGGAUGUUGCAUGGAGCUAUUAAAACAUACAUUUCCAUUCGUUGUUGCAUGAAAAAAUUCAUCAAUGCCUAUUAUGUCAUCCUGUUACGCAAAUAAAAUUUCAUUUGAGCUGCGUACCUGCAAGCGAAAUUUUUGGUAACGGUACCGUUAACGAAAAUUUCCUUUAGGAUAUGUUAAUUCAUUUCUUAUGAUUACGAAAAUUUCGCCAGAGAGUUUGCAAAUAAGAUGCAUGGCUGUAUAGCACACGACAUGGACUGCGACAUUUCCUAUCAAACGUACCAUUAAUUUUAAGUCUAAUUUCCUUGCUUUCAUUUGCCUGUCACGUUUUUAAGCUUUUUUCAAAUUUUCCCAUUUUUGUUAGUAAACAAGAACUUUAAAGUUGAAUCUUAAUAAAAAUUGUAGAAUAGUUAUGAA